rnacentral:rRNA from 1 species
GUAGGGAAUAUUGGGCAAUGGGUGCAAGCCUGACCCAGCCAUCCCGCGUGCCGGAUGAAGGCCCUCAGGGUUGUAAACGGCUUUUGACGGUGAAGAAUCGACAGGAUGCGUCCUGUUUUGACGGUAGCCGUUGAAUAAGCACCGGCUAACUCCGUGCCAGCAGCCGCGGUAAUACGGAGGGUGCGAGCGUUGUCCGGAUUUAUUGGGUUUAAAGGGUGCGUAGGCUGGAAGGUCAGUCAGCGGUGAAAAGCUGUCGCUUAACGAUAGUCUUGCCGCAGAUACUUCCUUUCUUGGAUGAGGAGGAGGCCACUGGAACGGAUGGUGUAGCGGUGAAAUGCAUAGAUAUCAUCCAGAACACCGAUUGCGAAGGCAGGUGGCUGUACCUUAAUCGACGCUGAUGCACGAAAGCAUGGGGAGCAAACAGGAUUAGAAACCCGGGUAGUCC